UGGUAAAAUAGCAUCUCUAUCAGGAAACAGCCGUGUACACUCGUACAGGAUCCACACAACUCCUGAAUCAUAUCUCUAUUACUCAGUUAAGAUCAAAGAGUCUGAGACAUUUGAUACAUUACACCAGGCCAGAUCCCAAUUUCCCAACUCAGACAGCAGCAACAAUCCCAUACACUCUUUUGCCAAACAAAAACGAAAAAAAAAAACCAUACACCCACCGGAUCGCCACCCACCGACUGUCGUUACGUCGUUACAAGUUUGACUUGGUUUCGGCAUCAAAUUGCAAAAGGCGAGUGCGAUGGCAUUAGAUGUUGCGGAAUUGCUGUGGAGAAAGUUCUUGAAGUCUCUGGCAGAGCUAGACUCUGAAUCUAAUUCAGGUUCUAUUACUAUCUCUGUCUUCAAAUCAUCAAUAAAAGCUCUCGUGUCUGAUUUCGAAGCAAUCAAAGACGUUAUGAAUGAGAGAGACAUAACGUCUACCGUUGGUUGCGAAGACGAUAGCAAAUGCUUUUGCAGUGGGAUUUGGAGGCGACGGAUCUGAAGAGAGAGAUGGUGAUCACGGGGAGGAAGUAGGAACUUUUGAAGAAUUAGUUGAAGACGACCAGGGUUCAAGAAUUGCUGACCUGAUCCAUCAUGUUCAAGAAUCUUCUUGAAGCAUCAGUUCAGUAAUCUGCAAAGCAAGAUGUUACCAGCAUAUUUCACCAUGGUGGGGAUUUAUCAGUAGCUUCAUUUGGGUAUUUGCAUCCAUGGAACUCUUCCACUGUAGCAGACAAGUACCAACUUGACUUUUUGCUUUCAGUUCACUAAUUUGUAGCAGGCCGGGAGCCUGGUAUAUGAUGUUUGUGCAAAUGAACCAUUCAAAUCCUGCCACCUCAAUCGUUGAAGGCUACUUGAAGGAUUAUGUAUCACAUGGUCUUUCACCAUAAAGGAAAUUUGGAAUGCAUUUAACUGAUUGAAGUGACUCUUAGCUAAACUAGGCUGAGGGUUUUUGUGGAAUGGACGUGGAUGCUGAAUGGAAUAUAAUGGGCACAUGGGAUUAAUUUGCAAGCUUUUUGUACAUUCUGUAUCCUAACAAUAGACAUGAAGCUUGGAGAAAUGGUGUUUCUUUAGCUGUAUUCAGUCUGAAAGUGAGUGGACAUCCUCUCUACAAAACUGUUCCACCUCACCAUCGUCAAAGGCUGAAACAUUUUGUUGGUAAACGGACUCUGAAAGCAUUUUGUGCAAUCUGUGUCUAAAUCAGUCAAUCUGGAAGAUUUGUUGGACACUCUCUCAAACUCUGCCAACAUCAUUGUUAUCAAAGCAAAGGUCGAAACUGAUUGUUGUUGGAGAGCAAGGAUGUGAAUCAUGUACUUUGGUUACCCUUUUCGUUGAGUGAGGAAGAAGAACAAUAUAGUAAGUUCAGCUUUGAAACAUGUAUCUUUGAUGGUAAUGGCCAAAUCAUAGAGGCGAGGAUUGUUGGCCUUGAUAAGCUCCUGGAAAGGCUAAGCCGCCAGCUGUUAUCGGAUAAAUGCUAUUUGAUUGUGUUGGAUGAUGUGUGUCAUCGGCACAUUAACAUUAUGGAACGCUUAUGCAGCGGAUUGCCCAAGCAUAAUGGUGGUGUUGUCAUUGUCACUACUAGAUUGAAGGAAGUGGCUCAAAAGCUGGGGAAACAACAUAGAUUGCAGCUGGUUCAUGUUAAGCCUCUGGACAGAGAGAUUUGCGGGCAUAUAUUUGAGGAGCAGGCUUAUUCCAUUAGAAAAAGUUCAAACUUCUCAUGUGAUGAAGCUACGAGAAAGAUGGAGGAACUCAAGGAUCAGUGCCAUGGUCUACCGUUGGUUGCGAAGACGAUAGCAAAUGCUUUUGCAGUGGGAUUUUGGAGGCGACGGAUCUGAAGAGAGAGAUGGAGAUCACGGGGAGGAAGUAGGAACUUUUGAAGAAUUAGUUGAAGACGACCGGGGUUCAAGAAUUGCUGACCUGAUCCAUAAUGUUCAAGAAUCUUCUUGAAGCAUCAGUUCAGUAAUCUUCAAAGCAAGAUGUUACCAGCAUAUUUCACCAUGGUGGGGAUUUAUCAGUAGCUUCAUUUGGGUAUUGAAGAAUAGAAGGAGCAUAAGGUAGAGAGGGAACAGAACAUUGUGGAAGAAGUGGGAUGGUCCAAAAAUGUGCAAGUUGCGAAGGUGAACCCAAAACUAGCAGCCAUGAAUAAGAAGUUCAGGAUGCUUCACGGGUUACUAUCUCUUGCGGAUAUUAUGGCUUUAGCAGCCUUGCCAUGCACUCAUAAUACUUGGCAGGUAAACUUAUUCUGUAGUUGGUAAACAAAACCCAAGUUCCCCUUUAUUUGGGGAUGGGGGAGGGAAAUGUUCUGGGGUCGAGUUGAACUAUGGAUUUUAUCGAUGAAAUAAAAAAAUAGAUUGCUUCUUUGUCUAGGUUUGAUUUUCUCUCCUUCUCCCUGUUUGGCAAUGGUUGAAUGAAACCACUCAGAAUGUACACAUGCUGAUUGAAUCAUCAGUUACUUAAUGAAGUUCAUACUUAAUAAAAAGAAAAAAUACUACAGAUUCUGGUGUUAAUCAAUACCAUAAUCGAUUCUGUGAUUGAUGAUAUAUUGUGGUUUUCAUACCCAUUCCUAAUAAGACAUGCGGAUAGAUGGAAGGGGACACAGUUCACAAGAAGAGGGAAAGAGAGAAGACAAAUGAGGAAGAUAGUAAAGCAGUUAAGGGAAAAUUGAGGAUUUCCGUAGUUAAGGAGUGUGGUUUGAUUGAUUCUAUGCUGGAGGGGCUAUCAGGCCGUCGUACACGAUACAAGAAAUUUGGUAUACAUUUGAUUGAUUGAGUAAUCAGGAGUGUGCCUCUCCCCUAAACAAGGCUGAAGCUUUUGUGGAAUGCAUGCUGACAGGGAUUUGACUAGUAAUUGGGGUUGGGAAGCAUUUUCAAUAAUCUGUAUCAGUGUAUCUUAACAAUAAGCCGCAGGCCGGGAGCCUAGUAUUUUGUGUUUGUGCAAAUGAACCAUUCAAAUCCUGCCACCUCAAUCGUUCAAGGCUACUUGAAGGAUUAUGUAUCACAUGGUCUUUCACCAUAAAGGAAAUUUGGAAUUCAUUCAACUGAUUGAAGUGGCCCUAAGCUAAACUAGGUACAUGUUAUCGCUCAGCAUCUUAAAUAAUCCAAUUUCAUACUUAAAAGGCUUGAAUUUGAGCACUUUCUAGUUGUCAAAUUACUACAUUUGAUAACUAAUUUCCAUCACAUGGGUUUCCUUGUCCCUAAGUUUUUGUGGAAUGGAUGUGGAUGCUGAAUGGAAUAUAAUAGGUACAUGGGAUUUGCAAGCUUUUUGUACAAUCUGUAUCCUAACAAUAGGCAUGGAGCUUGGAGAAAUGGUGUUUCUUUAGCUGUACUCAGACUGAAAGUGAGUGGACAUCCUCUCUAUGAAACUGUUCCACCUCACCAUCAUCAAAGGUAAUACCAUAAUAGUGUAGGAUCGAUCGUGUCAAGCUACACCUGCAUAUAGUUCGGCCCCUUUAUUGAGAACUAUGUCCCUAAUAUUGCAAAUAUACCUAUUGGUACUGCUGCUUUGAGUUCUAUGUUAACAUGUGUUUGAAGCUGUCACUGAUUGCUUGGGACCUAGGGUGUUAAUGGUUAGUGAUCCUUAUCCUGCUUUCUCUAUUCAGCAGAUUAAAUCUUAAAGCUUUUAUGUGUUAUGUUAAUGUCUUUCUUACUGGUCAUGUACAUCAUUUUACUACUCAUGGAUACAAAAAUUUAUAAACAUUUGAGGUGUCAUACUUGGUUUUCACAUGUAUAAUUUGUGAAUCAUAAGACUACGAUUAUGUAAUCUUUGUUCUGUUUUACUGAAAUGUGCCGCUUACUGAACAACUAAAUGAUCAGUUACUCCUUCUGGACAUUUUGAUGAACACAUUGUAUGCAGGAGCAUUUCGACUGAUUAAAGAAGCUCUUACCUAAGCUAGUUAAUCUGAUAUUAACAUUCCUAAGUAGUCCUGUAUAAUAAAUUUUUUUAUUUAUUUUUAUUUGGACAAUCCUAUUUUAUCUAUUGUACAAGUGCUUGCAAUUUCACUUUCCUAUUGUCCAAUUCUAAAAAUAUUACAAGGUUUGACAUCUAGUUUCCAUUACAUGGAUUUUCUUGUCAUUUAGGCUGAAGUCUCUUGUGGAACUGAAACUGAUGGGAAUUUGAGAAGCUAUGCCUAACAUGGCUAUAUUUCCGAAAGUUGUACAUUGUGAGCUGCAAUGCUAAUGAUGAGAGUUCCAGUAAUUAAAGGAACUCAGAUGUCGUCUCUCAAAGCAGUUGCAGUCCCCAGAUUAAAACAUUUUGCUGUUUGCUAGUUAGACCAGUGGGAAGAGUGGGAAGGAAUAAUGGGAGCAGGGAAGAGGGAAAAUACUGAAAUUAUAAUAACUGCCCAGAGCUAAAACAACUGCCAGGCUUCCUGCAGAAUUGCGUUUGGAGAUCAAGUGGCGUUCAUUUCUGACAUCACAAACAUCACAAUUAUGAAAACUUGCUGCCAAAACACAAAUCUCCAUGGAACUGAACAGUGACCUCACUUACAUUUUACUCAUUCCAAUGACGGCCCUUCGCUUCAAAGAAUAAAUAAGCUGCUCACUAACACGGAAGAUGUAUCAGCAGCAGGCAGCAGCAGAUGAACCAACCAAUGAGACAUCAGAGAACUAAACUACUAAAGUAGAAUAGUUGGUUUGAACUUUGAACUGAGAAAUGUAGCAUAUUUUUGUUAGAUCUAACCAAUUUUGUAUUCUGUAUAUAAAGCACAGCUUUAGUCAGAAUAUCAAUUUUGGAAAAAUGUAAAUACACAAAUCUGGCCUCUGUUUAGAAUUUUCACUUUUGAAAUAUGUAAAUACACAAGUCUGGUUAGAACCCCAGCUCUUGUAAUCCAAUAAUAUUUAAGGUAUAUUACAUAUUCAGUAUGCAAUUUAUUACGUAUAAAAUUCAAGAUGCAAGGAAACCCGCAGGACGGACUGUCAAGCGUACACCAUAAAGGAAAUUUGGCAUUUAUCCAUUUGACUGAUUGAGUGAGGGCUCUUACCUAAACUAGGCUGAAACAUUUUGUUGGUAAAUGGACUUGGAAAGCAUUUUGUGCAAUCUGCGUCUAAAUCAGUCGAUCUGAAAGAUUUGUUGGACACUGUCUCAAACUCUGCCAACAUCAUUGUUAUCAAAGGUAUUCUGAUUUUAUAUGAUGGGUGGAAGUUCUAUUGAUGAUGACUGGGAGCUUCCCUUUUCUAAUGCUGCUCGCACUGUGGUCUUAGUUGGAUGCACCGGCCGGUAAUGGAAUAAGUGCAACAGGCAACAGCAUUCUUGGCAAAAGAGCCUUCAAUUCCAAACGUAGCUCUAAUGGUGUCACGAAACACUUGUGAAUUGAAGACUGCCAUCUUGAGAGAUGGACAAGAAGUUAAUGUCCUGGUCUCUUUGAAAUUGUCAAAUGCAUUAGUUUGGCUAAGGAUGGGAUCCAUGCUGUUCUUGUGGACUUGUGGUUUUCUCAACUAGACCUCGCUUUUCACAAGAAGAGGAGUCUGCAAUCCUUAGCUUGCAAGCUCUAUUUGGCAGUAAAAUCUUUGACUAUAUGAUUGUUGUCUUUACGGGAGGGGAUGACUGAGAAGAAAAUGAUGAGACUUUGGAAGAUUAUUUGGGCCGUGAUUGCCCGGAGCCUUUAAAGGUUAAUAAAAUUUGUUUCUUCAAUUUUGUUUUCCUUUCCCUAGUUUAAAAUGUCAUGAUAACAUCACUACUUUUGUUUUCAUUUCUGAAUGAGCGGGAUACGAUAUUCUUUCUAACUAUUUGUGUUAAUAUCAUCGUUGUAUUGCAUUUGGACUCAUAAGUUUGAUAAAGAAUAUAGUCAAGUUGGGACAUGAGUUUAGAAGUGUUAAA